UUUUUUUUUUUUUUUUUUGGGAAGAAACUUUCAAGAUCUCUUAACGACAGCAGUGGCGAAGCACGGAUGGUGGAUGAACUCAAGAGAAACCUUCAGUGAUGGGUCAAGGGCUCCCACCUUGCAAAUGACAUUUAGGGCAACACUAUUGUGUUCUGCAACCAGCUCCAAUCUGCGGAGUUCAGCUAAUCUGUCUGGGUCAUUGGAAAAACUACUUUUGAUUUCCUUAGCAAUCUUCUGAGCAUCCUUGAAAUAAUUAUACAUGACUAUGGUCUAGAGAAUAGAGAUACAGAUAAAUUAGUUGGGCUUUGCACAAGGAAAGAUCAUGGAAACAAUAAUAAGUCAAAUGUCAAAAGACUACUCACAGAGAAACGAGCAUAGGCUGUAGAUUCCUUAAAUGAUGGAUAUGAAACAUGGUCAGGAAUGCAAGCUUUCUGUAGAAGCUCGAAAUGUUGCAUGAAUCUCUGGAGGAAAUAGUACUUACUGUUAGAACAAACAAUACAUAACAGAGACGUAACAUGGUAGCUUCCGAAAGGGAAAUGAUUUGAUUUUCACAGAUGAAUUACACUAAGUGUUCUGCCCCAGAAGGCAAAUGACACGAUCCAGCACAGACAUAUCAGUUACUUUCAAAGGGGGCAGUCAUCUAGUUAAUGAAUCCAACAUUAUGUUAUAUAUCAUAGUCACACUUCAAUCUUUAUUAAGAGAAAAAUAAACCAUAUGCAUACAGACAGUAUGAAUUCUACCUCAUGCUCAGAAUUGAAUGGGCUUGGACUAUGUAAAAUCUUCAGCUCAUUCCUCAAAGCAGCAAGCAGCUGGAAAGAUGGAAAAAUCCUUAAGAGCAUUUGAGAUGACAAUGAAGAAGCAAAAAAACAUAAUGUGAAGAAUGGACAGCAUCUGUUUCUCACAUUCACCAUAUAGAAAUGCUCACAUCAAUAAAUUUUGGAAAACUCUGUUUAGAAAUCUACAUAUAGGGGUUAAAAACCAACUAAAAUCCCAAAGUUCAUCAAAUAGCUGGUAUGCAGAUUAUUCUCACACCAUUCUAAUUAAGUUAAGGGGGAUGGCAUAAUUACCAGUGUGAGCCCUUCAGCAAGACAUAUCUGGCACUGAAGAAACAAGACUGCAUGUGGAAUCCGACUUUCUCUUGCCAGAUCCUUUGGAGAAUCCUUUCUCUUCUUUCCCUUUCUUUUAGCAGUGCCAUCAGUUGCUGACAUCUUAAGAUGUGUUUUCUCCGCAAGCUUGAUUAAGAUAACAUACAAAUACCAGUAUACCAUGCAAUAUUCACCGGGGGCAUAGAGAUCUAAUUCAAAACCCAGCAUGAGAAAUCGGUGAGCAAUCCAGUAAGUUUGCUCCUCCACCCAAACAAGGAUCUGUUUAAAUAUUCUCACAGAUAUGCUCUGCAAAAUCAAUAAAUUCGUCUCUAACCACAUUAACAAAAGAGCAUUAAAGGUGUGAUGACAUAUAGUGAAUGGAAAAUAAACCUAGAGCAGACAACAAAACUCUUAGAAUGCAUAAAGCAGAAGACUAAUAACAAGUUACUUCCAAGAAUAUCAAACCAAUAACAAAUCCAACAAUCUCCCUCUCAUGUAAACCAAAAAGUUACCAGAAUCCAUUGUAAAAAUAUAAUUCUGGGCAAAUAUUUUUAGACACGCAUGGACAAAGUUGCAUCUUCCUUUUGGUAAGUUUUGUCUUAGCAAAUCUUGCAGUGACAUUGACAAGUGUAAUGUAGACAACAUUUCAGCAAUAGCCUAAACCAAAUUAAACAGAAGAUAAAUUAUAACACUCCCAAUAACUAGUUUCCUUUAACUAUAUGAGUUCACCCAAUUAAAAAUCCUCAAUUCACUAUUUUUGGUACUUUCAAAACACUAGACAUUAUGCAGUGAUUUAUCACAAUAGUUUCAGUUUCAAAUAAAUGUUUUAUUCACAAGGAUAAUAAUGAUUUUGAAAUUUCUUUCCUUAAAGAAUUAAAAACAUCAUCAGUAAUAAACACUGGGUAACGUAUAGAUCCAACCAUGUUCAAAAUGUUGCUGGUUUAAAGGUGGAAUGAUACUUUCCUCAUAUAUAUAAGCUUACCACCCAACAAAGUGCAUUAUACCUCAUCAUCUGAAGUGUUUGAGACUUCUCUGUACUCCUUAGUAAAAGCAAGUUCUAGCUGUACAUAGAUAACACGCCAAUCCUGUAAAAUUUUUCCAAGUUUACGCCUUUGCCAUGCAGCAUUUGUACAAAGAAUUUUGAGCAUAUUGAUCACUAGCUGUCCUAGUUGUAUAAUAUAUUCAUUCUUCUGAAUAUCAUGGUUCUUUGCAACCUCAGGCAAGCCUGCUGCCCUAGUAAUGACAGCAAAGAUAGGAUCCCGCCCAUAAAGUUUCCCAUCUUGAACCAGCAGAAGCUGGAGAUGUGCUCUCGCAACCAAAUCAGGCUGAGACUUUUGAAACUGAACCAGAAAGCGCAAAAGAACUUCCAGAGAUGGAUCCAACGAGUAGGAACAUAUAAAAUCUAGAUCAUGAAGAAGUUUUUCGAAGUACUCAGUUGCCUUUUUCCAACUAAGAAGUUUAAUUGAGCGUGGUGGAGUGGGGGCAGAAAUUCUACUAUUUAAACUAGAGUCAAACCCAAUUGGUUGAUGACCAGAGGCGGUUGUUCUAUCUUCCAUACCAUCUUCACAAGUUCCACAAGCAUUUGACGCAAGGAAUUCUGCUGAUUUAUAAAUUGAUUCUAGCUCUGAUAUGCAGGCAGCUAUAUGUUUUCUGGCCAACUCCAUACCUCUACCUUGUGGUCGCUUCAUACAAGUGAGAACAUGAAAAAAAUGCUUACGAAAGCGUAUGCGGCACAACAACGCUUUGCAAUAGCCUUCCUCCAGAUCAAUAUUAGCUUGUAAUGGCUCUAUAUCCUCUAAUAAUUUUCUUUUGGAUGACGGGGCUUUACAAGCACGCAGUUGGCGAGAAAUAUUUUCUUCGACGGCAUUUAACAAGGAUAAGCACUUAUCAUCUCCAUGCUCAUUAAGAGGAAGACCAUAUGCCAUUGUAAAAAGAUCCUCUUCUUCAUGUGUGCGUGCAUCUGACACAACUGAAACAACUGCUUUGCAUGUUGCACGAAUGACUUUGCAAUAAGAAUCCAAUAAGGCAUGUGAUGCUGUCCUAUCAGGCCUCAAAAGAUAGAUGCAAGAAAAGACAGUUUGUGCCAAAGAGUGACCCUUGUGCCAUGUUGCCUGCCAUGAAGACUGCUAUUCAGAAAUAAUCUUCUCAUUCUUUAUUGGUUAGAAUUAAAUUUAAGAUGUUCCCUAAUACCAUUCCAUUAUUUUACCACAUGAGCCAAGACCCAGGGGCAUUUAUAAUUUCCAUAUCCGAGAACACAUGAGAAUGGGAACAGCCACUAAAAAUAGACAAGAGAAGACAUCGCAUGGCACACAUGCACAUGUGUGCAUGUCUGCAAAUAGGUAUAUGAACUUGAAUAAAAUUAAUGUAUCUAACAUUUUUCUUAAUCUUCACUUCCUUUUUUUUCUUUUUCUAUUUUUCUAUAAUUAAUAAAUAAAAGAACCUUGGCUUCACUAAUGAGCUUUAGCUCAGUGGUAUUAGAGUAGCCCACGGGACAGUGAAAGGUAUCGAGUCGAGUCCCAGUCAAGUCGAUUACACAAAAAAAAAAAAAUAAUAAUAAUA
rnacentral:misc_RNA from 1 species